rnacentral:rRNA from 1 species
GUAGUCCUGGCCGUAAACGAUGUCGACUAGUUGUUGGACGGGAUACUGUUCAGUAACGUAGCUAACGCGUGAAGUCGACCGCCUGGGGAGUACGGCCGCAAGGUUAAAACUCAAAGGAAUUGACGGGGACCCGCACAAGCGGUGGAUGAUGUGGUUUAAUUCGAUGCAACGCGAAAAACCUUACCUACCCUUGACAUGCCAGGAACUUACCAGAGAUGGUUUGGUGCUCGAAAGAGAGCCUGGACACAGGUGCUGCAUGGCUGUCGUCAGCUCGUGUCGUGAGAUGUUGGGUUAAGUCCCGCAACGAGCGCAACCCUUGUCAUUAGUUGCUACGCAAGAGCACUCUAAUGAGACCGCCGGUGACAAACCGGAGGAAGGUGGGGAUGACGUCAAGUCCUCAUGGCCCUUAUGGGUAGGGCUACACACGUCAUACAAUGGGCGGUACAGAGGGUUGCCAACCCGCGAGGGGGAGCUAAUCCCUUAAAACCGCUCGUAGUCCGGAUUGUAGUCUGCAACUCGACUGCAUGAAGUCGGAAUCGCUAGUAAUCGCGGAUCAGCUUGCCGCGGUGAAUACGUUCCCGGGUCUUGUACACACCGCCCGUCACACCAUGGAAGUGGGGUUUACCAGAAGUAGUUAGCUUAACCGCAAGGGGGGCGAUUACCACGGUAGGCUUCAUGACUGGGGUGAAGUCGUAACAAGGUAGCCGUAUCGGAAGGUGCGGCUGGAUCACCUCC